UUGAUUAGUGACUGAACAGGAAUCCAUUGAAUACAGGGUGAAGACGGCGAAUAUAGGACUCCCUUGCCGAGCCGAAGAAGACAACACAACCAUGAUCUGAAAUACUGCGCACUAUGGAACAGAAGAUGCGAAGCAGGCACUGUCGGUCGGAGCCGCAGUGCUUAUGGGAUAACACCUUGAGAAGAAACUGAAAGAAGAAAUUGAAUGGACAUAAACUUUGGACCAAAGAAGAUCUUACUCAAAUAGGGCCAUGGCUCAAAUUUUUGAACGCAGAGACGGCUGCAAGGAAAGUUGAUAUGAAUAAACAAGGCUGCCGCUUGCCCUCACCUUGUUUUCGGCCUGCUUCAUAAACAAAUAGCCCUUAAUUCAUUGCUACGCCUUACAUUCACCAAGGAUGCCCAAAGUAAAUGCAGGAGCCGAUGGAUGGAAACGCAAUGUGAUACAAAAGUUGUAUGGAGACGAAUAAGGGCCUAAGAGAGGAUGACCGACGUUUGAGGGCUGUAUUUCUAUACCAAGAAUAUAUGGCGGGCCUUGGCUUUCGGAAUGCCAAUAUGGAAGAUAACACGGCACAAUGCACAACAUGUGGAAACGAUUAAAAGCAGACAACCUGCGUUAGUGUACCGUCCGUUGUGUGCUUUUUGCGCUGCAGUGUGCCAUAAUUAUGUACCAGCAAGCCGAACUCGACACGGUAACCGAGUUGGUAUAAACUUUGAUGAA